AUUACUUUGGCAGAAUAAUGUAAUAAAUUUAGAAUUUAUUCAUGUAACCAUUUACAAGUAAUA
rnacentral:tRNA from 1 species